UACGUAGGGUGCGAGCGUUAAUCGGAAUUACUGGGCGUAAAGCGUGCGCAGGCGGUUUGCUAAGACAGGUGUGAAAUCCCCGGGCUUAACCUGGGAACUGCGCUUGUGACUGGCAGGCUAGAGUACGGUAGAGGGGGUGGAAUUCCUGGUGUAGCAGUGAAAUGCGUAGAUAUCAGGAGGAACACCGAUGGCGAAGGCAGCCCCCUGGGCCUGUACUGACGCUCAUGCACGAAAGCGUGGGGAGCAAACAGGAUUAGAUACCCGUGUA
rnacentral:rRNA from 1 species